CCUGAACUCGGGGUUCAGGGGAUUGAUUGAUUACAACAAAAGCUGUGCCCUCUGAACCUGGCUGCAGCCAAAUAAAACUGUUUCCUGCCUCGUUUGUCCCUACAAUAACAGAGCAGAGGAUGAAGUGAGGGAGAAAAGCGUGGCAGUCCUCACAAGAAACCAGAAGAAAAAGGAGCAACCGCAAAUUCAGACCUCAGGGGUCUGAGGUCCAGAAAGCCCCGCACGCAGCCUAGACUGGAGAGUAAAUCUGAGCAGAGUCACUCGAGGUGCCAAGAGAUGUGCAGAAAACUCUUCUUAGUUUUUUGAGGAAUCUCCAUACUGCUUUACAGAAGCUUUACAGAGUGGUUGCACUAAUUUGCAACAAUGUAUGAGUGCACCUUUUCCCCACAUCCUCACCAAUACUUAUUAUUACUUGUAUUCUUGAUACUUGUCAUUCUGACUGGAGUGAAAUCUCAAUAUAGCUUUGAUGUGCAUUUCCCUAAUUGCUAGAGAUGUUGAACCUUUUUUUUUCCUUUAUUCUUCUUUUGAGAAGUGUCUGUUUAGUUCUUUUGCCCAUUUAUUAAUUGGGUCAUUUGUUUUUCUGAUGCUAAGUUUUUAUUUGUUUUUUUUAUUUUUUAUAUAUUCUGGAUAUUAACAUCCUGAGGAGCAGCCCAUUCUUUAGGCUCUCUCUUCAUGCUCUAAAUUGUUUCUUUUGCUGUGCAGAUUUGCUUCACUUUUAGAUAAACGCUUUCUGGUAUAU
rnacentral:lncRNA from 1 species